UACGGGGGGGGCAAGCGUUGUUCGGAAUUACUGGGCGUAAAGGGCUCGUAGGUGGCCAACUAAGUCAGACGUGAAAUCCCUCAGCUUAACUGGGGAACUGCGUCUGAUACUGGAUGGCUUGAGUUUGGGUGAGGGAUGCGGAAUUCCAGGUGUAGCGGUGAAAUGCGUAGAUAUCAGGAGGAACACCGGUGGCGAAGGCGGGUCUCUGGGCCGAUAUUGACGCUGAGGAGCGAAAGCGUGGGGAGCAAACAGG
rnacentral:rRNA from 1 species